CUUAACCCUUCUGAGAAAAUAUAAAAAAUAGAGAGCUUUGGCUGGAGCAAUGCACAUCAUGACUGCUGCAAACUCAAUUUAUUCACAAUGCCUUUGAGGGAUGGACUGCCAUCACCUGUUAUAAGGACCAGUUCUUGCAGAGAUAUGGAGAGCGAUAUGAUAAGAUGAAAAAAGGCACAGGCAGUCAAGAAACUGGCCCAGUCAUCUGGUCCUCAAAUAGAGAGACAGAAGUCACUGCUAUCAUUGUGAGGGGUCCAAGACAAAUGAGACCCCAAACCUGCCAUGCCAAGGAAUCCUGCAUCUUACAGAGAUAAGAUGGUGAGGCCCUGACACAACAGCUUUCACUGAGCAAGUGGUGAGGCCCUAGAAGACUCAUGUCUUUCCCAUAAAAGGUCAGUGCAAGGAGCCUGGGUGUGAAAUGCUAUGCGUAUACCAGUGGGCCAGAUGGCUUGCUCUGAUGUGCAUGACCGUAUGUGUGUGUGUGCACACACAUGUAUGUAUGUGUAUUUGUUUCUUUUUUAAAGCACACAAAUGUGUUCCAAUCUAAUGAUCUUAAAUAUUGCAAUCCUUGGAUUAUGUGUAAAAAAAUGACAAGUUUUGAAAAUGAAAAGUAC
rnacentral:lncRNA from 1 species